rnacentral:rRNA from 1 species
CCUACGGGAGGCAGCAGUGAGGAAUAUUGGUCAAUGGGCGCGAGCCUGAACCAGCCAAGUAGCGUGAAGGAUGACUGCCCUACGGGUUGUAAACUUCUUUUAUAAAGGAAUAAAGUGAGGCACGUGUGCCUUUUUGUAUGUAUUUUAUGAAUAAGGAUCGGCUAACUCCGUGCCAGCAGCCGCGGUAAUACGGAGGAUCCGAGCGUUAUCCGGAUUUAUUGGGUUUAAAGGGAGCGUAGAUGGGUUGUUAAGUCAGUUGUGAAAGUUUGCGGCUCAACCGUAAAAUUGCAAUGGAUACUGGCAGACUUGAGUGCAGUUGAGGAAGGCGGAAUUCGUGGUGUAGCGGUGAAAUGCUUAGAUAUCACGAAGAACUCCGAUUGCGAAAGCAGCCUACUAAACUGUCACUGACAUUGAGGCUCGAAAGUGUGGGUAGCAAACAGGAUUAGAUACCCGAGUAGUC